GACAGAGGGUGCAAACGUUGUUCGGAAUUACUGGGCGUAAAGCGCGUGUAGGCGGCCCAGCAAGUCGGAUGUGAAAGCCCUGGGCUUAACCUAGGAAGUGCAUUCGAAACUGCUGGGCUUGAGUUCUGGAGAGGAAGGCGGAAUUCUCGGUGUAGAGGUGAAAUUCGUAGAUAUCGAGAGGAACACCGGUGGCGAAGGCGGCCUUCUGGACAGUGACUGGACGCUGAGACGGCGAAAGCGUGGGGAGCAAACAGGGAUUAA
rnacentral:rRNA from 1 species